rnacentral:lncRNA from 10 species
CGCUGCCCCACGCGGAGCGCGACUGCCGUCACCCGACAGGACUUUCUUCUGGUUCACCCCUGCAUACCGAGUGCUGAGAACGGGCAGCGCAUAGGAGGAACGCAGUCCCUACCUGUCACAUAGAUGCAGGUUGUCUUGCCAAAUAGAACUCCACCUGGGCACCCUGAGAGGGGUGGCUCAGGCCGGGGCAGGCCUGCUGGGCCAGGACCAGGAUCACUCACUCCAGGGGAAGCUGGCUGCUGAGUCAUGAAGAGGUCCAUGCAGCCCUCCGGAGAAGCCCAUGGGAGACACUGAGGCCUCCAGCCAACAGCGACCAACCCCUUGCUAGGGGUGAGGAAGACUCUUGGAAGACUGUUCAGCCCCAGAAAGCCUUGAGGUGAUCAUGGCUUAGACCAGCAUCUUAGCUGCAACCUCAUGGGAGACCUAGAGGCAGAGCCAUCCAGCUGGGCCAUUCCCUGGCUCCUGCCCUGCAGAAGCCCUGUGAUACCGUAUAAUUGAUUUUCCAGCAAACCUUCAGAGGGAGAAGGAGAAAUUGUCCCUCGGCCCCUACAGUUUUGGCACUGUGAGCAGGAGACUGACACCAUUCUGCUCUCCUGGGAGCUGCAGUGAAGGAAACCCAGGACCUGACAAACUGGCAGAAGGGUAAGAAUUUCUUACCAGCCGGGCUCCCAGCCUCUCUCUGUAAAAUCCAGUCAAGCAAAUAGUAAAAAUGACUGUCGUUUUUCUCUCUGCAAAAUUUUGAUUGAUGGGAGAAAAGGAUUUGUGUGGCUAGUCUUGGGUGUGGCAACUCUGGUGUACUUUUUGGUAGGAAUAUUACUAUUGUUUGAUCUUUUUUCCUCCCAGAAAUAGUCCUUUCCUUUGUUUUUGUCUUUUUUUGUUGCUCUGUCAUAACAAGGGGUCCCAUAGUGUUACCGGAAAGCGGUCCCGAUCCAGACCCCAAGAGAGGGUUCUUGGAUCUCGCGCAAGAAAGAAUUCAAGAUGAAUCCAUAGAGUAAAGUGAAAGUAAUUAAGAAAGUAAAGGAAUAAGGCCGGGCGUGGUGGCUCAUGCCUGUAAUCCCAGCACUUUGGGAGGCGGGUGGAUUACUUGAGGCCAGGAGUUCAAGAUCACCUUGGCCAACAUGGUGACCCCAUCUCUACUAAAAAUACAAAAAUUAGCCGGGCAUGGUGGCAGGUGCCUGUAAUCCUAGCUACUCAGGAGGCUGAGGCAGGAGAAUCGCUCAAACCUGGGAGGUGGAGGUUGCAGUGAGCUGAGAGCACGCCAGUGCACUCCAUCCUGGGUGACAAGAACGAA